rnacentral:rRNA from 1 species
CCUACGGGGGGCAGCAGUGAGGAAUAUUGGUCAAUGGACGAGAGUCUGAACCAGCCAAGUAGCGUGAAGGAUGACUGCCCUAUGGGUUGUAAACUUCUUUUAUAAAGGAAUAAAACGAGGCACGUGUGCCUUUUUGCAUGUACUUUAUGAAUAAGGACCGGCUAAUUCCGUGCCAGCAGCCGCGGUAAUACGGAGGAUCCGAGCGUUAUCCGGAUUUAUUGGGUUUAAAGGGAGCGUAGAUGGGUUGUUAAGUCAGUUGUGAAAGUUUGCGGCUCAACCGUAAAAUUGCAAUUGAUACUGGCAGCCUUGAGUACGGUUGAGGUAGGCGGAAUUCGUGGUGUAGCGGUGAAAUGAUUAGAUAUCACGAAGAACUCCGAUUGCGAAGGCAGCCUACGAAACUGCCACUGACAUUGAUGCUCGAAGGUGUGGGUAUCAAACAGGAUUAGAUACCCCAGUAGUC